rnacentral:rRNA from 1 species
UACGUAGGGGGCAAGCGUUGUCCGGAAUUAUUGGGCGUAAAGAGCUCGUAGGCGGUUCAGUAAGUCGGGUGUGAAACCCCCAGGCUCAACCUGGGGACGCCACCCGAUACUGCUGUGACUAGAGUCCAGUAGGGGAGUGUGGAAUUCCCGGUGUAGCGGUGAAAUGCGCAGAUAUCGGGAGGAACACCUGUGGCGAAGGCGGCCCCCUGGUUGGAUACUGACGCUGAGACGCGAAAGCGUGGGGAGCAAACAGG